GUGGUACAAGAUGGUGGUACAGAAGUAAGAUUUGUCGCUAUGAUUAUCGCAAUGAAAUCAGAAGGUUAUAUAUUUGGCUUUAGUAUCGAGGGUUCGAAUCCCUCCCUCACCGCCA
rnacentral:tRNA from 1 species